rnacentral:rRNA from 1 species
UACGUAUGGAGCAAGCGUUAUCCGGAUUUACUGGGUGUAAAGGGAGCGCAGGCGGUCUGGCAAGUCUGAUGUGAAAGGCCGGGGCUCAACCCCGGGACUGCAUUGGAAACUGUCAGACUGGAGUGUCGGAGAGGUAAGCGGAAUUCCUAGUGUAGCGGUGAAAUGCGUAGGUAUUAGGAGGAACACCAGUGGCGAAGGCGGCUUACUGGACGAUGACUGACGCUGAGGCUCGAAAGCGUGGGGAGCAAACAGG